AGCUUGCUUUCUCGAGCGAGUGGCGAACGGGUGAGUAGCGCGUGAGGAACCUGCCUCAAAGAGGGGGACAACAGUUGGAAACGACUGCUAAUACCGCAUAAUACUUUCGAGCGGCAUCGUUUGAAAGUCAAAGAUUUAUUGCUGAAAGAUGGCCUCGCGUCUGAUUAGCUAGUUGGUGGGGUAACGGCUCACCAAGGCGACGAUCAGUAGCCGGUCUGAGAGGAUGAACGGCCACAUUGGGACUGAGAUACGGCCCAGACUCC
rnacentral:rRNA from 1 species